AGAGUUUGAUCCUGGCUCAGGAUGAACGCUGGCGGCGUGCCUAAUACAUGCAAGUCGAGCGAACGGACGAGAAGCUUGCUUUUCUGAUGUUAGCGGCGGACGGGUGAGUAACACGUGGAUAACCUACCUAUAAGACUGGGAUAACUUCGGGAAACCGGAGCUAAUACCGGAUAAUAUUUUGAACCGCAUGGUUCAAAAGUGAAAGACGGUCUUGCUGUCACUUAUAGAUGGAUCCGCGCUGCAUUAGCUAGUUGGUAAGGUAACGGCUUACCAAGGCAACGAUGCAUAGCCGACCUGAGAGGGUGAUCGGCCACACUGGAACUGAGACACGGUCCAGACUCCUACGGGAGGCAGCAGUAGGGAAUCUUCCGCAAUGGGCGAAAGCCUGACGGAGCAACGCCGCGUGAGUGAUGAAGGUCUUCGGAUCGUAAAACUCUGUUAUUAGGGAAGAACAUAUGUGUAAGUAACUGUGCACAUCUUGACGGUACCUAAUCAGAAAGCCACGGCUAACUACGUGCCAGCAGCCGCGGUAAUACGUAGGUGGCAAGCGUUAUCCGGAAUUAUUGGGCGUAAAGCGCGCGUAGGCGGUUUUUUAAGUCUGAUGUGAAAGCCCACGGCUCAACCGUGGAGGGUCAUUGGAAACUGGAAAACUUGAGUGCAGAAGAGGAAAGUGGAAUUCCAUGUGUAGCGGUGAAAUGCGCAGAGAUAUGGAGGAACACCAGUGGCGAAGGCGACUUUCUGGUCUGUAACUGACGCUGAUGUGCGAAAGCGUGGGGAUCAAACAGGAUUAGAUACCCUGGUAGUCCACGCCGUAAACGAUGAGUGCUAAGUGUUAGGGGGUUUCCGCCCCUUAGUGCUGCAGCUAACGCAUUAAGCACUCCGCCUGGGGAGUACGACCGCAAGGUUGAAACUCAAAGGAAUUGACGGGGACCCGCACAAGCGGUGGAGCAUGUGGUUUAAUUCGAAGCAACGCGAAGAACCUUACCAAAUCUUGACAUCCUUUGACAACUCUAGAGAUAGAGC
rnacentral:rRNA from 7 species